GAAAGAGAGAGACAGUGGAGAAGAGAGAGAGAGAAAUGGACAGUGGAGAAGAGAGAAAGAGAGAGAGACAGUGGAAAAGAGAGAGAGAAACAAAGACAGUGGAAAAUAGAGAGGGAGACAGAGGCGAUGGAGAGGAGAGAGAGAGAGAGAGACACACACAGACAGAAAGACAGACAUUGGAGAAGGUAGAGAGAUACAGAGUGAAGAAGAGAGAGAAAUGGACAGUGGAGAAGAGAGAGAGAGAGAGAAAUACACAGUGGAGAAGAGAGAGAGAAAUACACAAUGGAGAAGAGAGAGAUAGAGAAAUACACAAUAAAGAAGAGAAAGAUAGGGAAAUAGAAGGAAACGAGAGAGAGACAGAGAGAGAGAGAAAUAUUGGAGAAGUGAGAGAGAGAAAGAGACAUUGGAGAUGAGAGAGAGACACAUACAUUGGAAAAGAGAGAGAGAGAGAAAUACACAGUGGAUUAGAGAAAGAUAGAGAUAGUAGAAAAGACAGACAGAAAGAAAUAGACAAUGGAGAAGAGAGAGAGAGAAAAAUAGCAGAGAAGAGAGAGAGAGAGAGAGAGAGAGAGAGAGAGAGAGAGAGAAAAUAGACAGCAGAGAAGAGAGAGAGAGAGAGAAAUAGACGGCAGGGGAAGAGAGAGAGAGAAAGAGAGAGAGAGAGAGAAAUAGACAGUUGAGAAGAGAGAGAGAGAUAUAUAAAUAGACAGUUGGGAAGAGAAACACAGAAAUAGAAAGUGGAGAAGAGACAGAGAGAGAGAGAGAGAGAGAGAGAGAGAGAGAGAGAGAAAGGGAAAUAGACAAUGGAAAAGAGAGAGAGAGACACAGACAGUGGGCAAGACAGAGAGAGAAAGAGUGGACAAGAGAGAGAGAGAAAUAGUGCAGAAGAGAGAAAGAGAAAUACACAGUGGAGAAGACAGAGAGAGACACAGAGAGUGGAGAAGAGAGAGAGAGAAAUAGACAGUUGUGAAGCAAGAGAGGGAGAGAAAUAGACAGUGGAGAAGAAAGAGAGAGAGAAAUACACAGUGAAGAUAGAUAGAGAAAUACACAAAUAAGAAGAGAGAGAUACAUACAUUGGAGAUGAGAGAGAGAUACAUACAUUGGAGAAGAGAGAGAGAAAUACACAGUUGAGUAGAGAGAGAGAGACAGAGAUAGUAGAGAAGAGAGAGAAAUAGACAGUGGAGAAGAGAGAGGGAGAGAGAGAGAGAAAUAUACAGUUGAGAAGUGAGAGAGAAAGAAAUAGUUGAAAAAAGAGAGAAAUAGUGGAGAAGAGACACAGAUGGGGGAAUAGACAAUGGAAAACAGAUAGAGAGACACAGACAGUGGAUAAGAGAGAGAGAGACACUGACAGUGGAUAAGAGAAGAGAAACACAGACAGUGGAAAAGACAGAGAGAGACACAGACAGUGGGCAAGCAGAGAGAAAUAGUGGACAAGAGAGAAAGAGAAAUAGACAGUGGAGAAGGGACAGAGAGAAGUACACAAUGGAGAACACAGAGAGAGACAUAGAGAGUAGAGAAGAGAGAGAGAGAAAUAGACAGUUGUGAAGCGAGAGAGGGAGAGAAAUAGACAUUGGAGAAGAAAGAGAGAGAGAAAUACAAAGUGGAGAAGAGAGAUGGAGAAAUACACAAAUAAGAGCGAUAGGGAAAUAGACAGGAAAGAAGAGAGAGACAGAGAAAUAUUUGAAAAGUGAGAGAGAGAGAGAGAAAGAGACAUUGGAGAUGAGAGAGAGGUACAUACAUUGGAGAAGAGAGAGAGAGAAAUACACAGUGGUGUAGAGAGAGAGAGACAGAGACAGUAGAGAAGAGAGAGAGAGAGAGAGAAAUAGACAAUGGAGAAGAGAGAGAGAGAAAUAGACAGUUGAGAAGAGAGAGAGAGAGAAAUUGACAGAGGAGAAGAAGGAGAAAGACACAGACAGUGGAAAAAAGAGAGAAAUAAAGAGACAGUGGAGAAGAGAGAGAGAGAAUAAGAGACAGUGGAGAAGAAUGAGAGAGAGAGAGAGAGACAGAGACAUUGGAGAAGAGACAAGAGAAAAAUAAAUAGUGGAGAAGAGAGAGAGAAAUAAAUAGUGGAGAAGACAGAGAGAGACACAGACAGUUGAGAAGAGAAAGAGACACACAGACAGUGGGAAAGAGAGAGAGAGAGAGAAAUAGUCCGUGGAAGAGUGAGAAAGGGAGAAAUAGACAGUGGAGGAGAGAGACAGAGACAGAGAGAGAGAGAGAGAGAGAGAGUGAGUGUGUGUGUGUGUGUCAGUCACAGACAGUGGAAAAGACAGAGAGAGACACAGACAGUGGGCAAGAGAGAGAGAGAAAUAGUGGACAGCAGAGAGAGAGAAACGGACAGUGGAGAAGACAGAGAGAAAUAGACAGUGGAGAAGGGAGAGAGAGAAAUACACAGUGGAGAAGACAGAGAGAGACACAUAGUCGAGAAGAGAAAGAGAGACACAGACAGUGGGAAAGAGAGAGAAAAAAGACCGUGGAAAAGAGAGAGAGAGAAAAGACAGUGGAGGGAGAGAGGGGGGGGGAGAAAACAGAGAGAGACAGACAGUGGAGGAGAGAGAGAGAGAGAGAGUGUGUGAGAGAGUGGGUGUGUGUGUGUGUGUGUGUGUGUGUGUGUCAGUCACAGACAGUGGUAAAGAUAGAGAGAAACACAGAAAGUGGGAAAGACAAAGAGAGAGAAAUAGACAGUGGAGAAGAAAAAGAAAGAGAUAUACAGUGAAGAAGAGACAGAGAGAAAUAGACAGUGGAGAAGAGAGAGAGAAAUAGACAGUACAGAAGAAAGAGAAAUAAACAGUGGAGAAGGGAGAGAGAGAAAGAAAAAGUGGAGAAGAAAGAGAGAGAAAUAGACAGUCGAGAAGUCAGAGAGAAACACAGUUGAGAAGAGAGAGAGAGAGACAAAGACAGUGUAAAAGAUAGAGCGAGUCACACACAGUGGAAAAGAUAGAGAGACAUAUCGACAGUGGAAAAGACUGAGAGACAGAGACAGUGAGAGAGAGAAGUAGAUAGUGGAGAAAAGAGAGAAAAAGAAAUAGACAGUGGAGAAGAAAGGGAGAGAGAGCAAAAUAUUGGAGAAGAGAGGGAGAAAUAGAGAGUGGAAAAGAGAAACACAUACAGUGGAGAAGAGAUAGAGAGAGAGCUAGACAGCUGAGAAGACCGAGAAGUCCAGAAAGUGUAAAAGAGAGAGAAACAGAAAGUGGGAAAGAGAGAGAGACACAGGCAGUAGUGGAGAGAGAGAGAGAGAGAGAGAGAGAAAUAGAGUGUAGAGAAGAGAGAGAGAGAGAGAAAUAGACACUGGAGUAGAGAAAGAAAAUUAGGGGAGAAGAGAGAGGGAGAGAGAGAGAGGAAAAGAGAGAGGGAGAGAGAGGAAAUGUAAGAGAGAGACAAAGACAGUGGAGAAGAGAGAGAGAGAAAUGGACAGUGGAGAAGAGAGAGAGAGAGAGAGAGAGUGGAGAAGAGAGAGAGAGAGAGAAAAAACAAAAAGGAGAGGAGAGAUGGGGAAAAAGAAGGAAAAGAGAGAAAAACAGAAAUGGAGAGAGAAAGAGACAUAGGAGAUGAGAGAGACAUACAUUGGAAAAGAGAGAGAAAAAUACACAGUGGAGUAGAGAGAGAGAGAGAGAGAGACAGCACAGAAGACAGACAGACAGAAAUAGAAUAUGGAGAAGAGAGGAGAGAGAAACAGUAGAAAAGAGAGAACGUGAAAUAGACAGCAGAGAAGAAGAGAGAGAUUGAAAUAUACACUAGAGGAGAAAGAGAGACACAGACAGACAGACAGUCAGUGGAGAAGACAGAGAGAGAGACAGAAAUAUACAGUGGAGAAGAAAGGGAGAGAGACAGAGAAACAUUGGAGAAGAGAGAGAGAAAAUAGAGAAUGGAAAAGAGAAACAAAUACAGUGGAGAAGAGAGAGAGCUAGACAACUGAGAAGAGAAACACACAGACAGUGGAAAAGAGAGAUAGAAUAGAGAGUAGAGAAGAGAGAGAAAACAAAAGGGAGAAGAGAG
rnacentral:lncRNA from 1 species